GCCGGAGUGGCGAAACUGGCAUACGCACGAGACUCAAAAUCUCGCGCCCUCACGGGUAUGUGGGUUCGAGUCCCACCUCCGGCACCA
rnacentral:tRNA from 1 species